rnacentral:lncRNA from 1 species
AAUUGAGAAGUGAUUAAUGUAUCAAUUGCAAGCAUCUCUGGCAGAGCUUAGUAGAAGGAGAUACUGGGGAGCGGGAAGGGAGUAGGGUCUUAAUAUGUGUUCCACACAUCAGUGCCUCUGAAACUGCAUUGGAUAUGAGUCACUUGGGACUUUGGUUAAAAUGCAGAUUCUGAUGCAUUUGAUCUGGGGUGGGGCUUGAGUCUGCAUUUCUAAAGCUCCCGGAUACUGCUGGACCUUGGACCACACUUUGCGUAACAAAGCACAACAUCCCCUGGCUGUUUCUGCCCCCGACACAGAAAGGGUAGAGGCAGGAGUGGCCUGAUUCAUUGAGCUUCCUUCUUGGACCACAUUUCACUGGUUCUGCUGCAGCUGGAAUCCCACUUGAUCCAUCAGGUGCAUCUUCCCCAGCAUCCUGGAAGCACCUCUCCUGGAAAGACAAACAAAGGCCCACUCUAGGGAAGCUUCUAUCCAGGGCAUGGUGGGUGAGAGAUUGCAUAGCUCCCCAGGAUUUCACCAGCAAGAAUUCCAUCUCCACCGGCUGCUCCCCUUCUCAUGUUUGGACAAUGAUGAUGAAAGGCCCACAGGUUUCCAGCUAAGUGUUGGAGACCGGCUGGCAGCCUUGAAAAUGCCAGCUUUUCCAGAGGUUGAUAAGCACCGGGGAAAUAUUUUUCAUGCUGAGCAGGGCUACACAAAUUGCCCAGCAUCUGGAACAAAUUGCUGUGUGGGUACCUGGGCUGCCAAGGAGCAGGUGAGAAGAGGCUGCCAUCAGACCAAGAAAGAGCCUCCUGAUUGCAGGCAGUGGAGAAGCCCACUGGGAUGCUGUGUGGCCUCCGUGUCCAGUGGUGGAAGCAGCAUUUCCCCAGAGCCAAGAGGAGGAGAGGACGAAGUCCACCCAAUGGCAACCCAGGGGAGAGGGUUUUGCUGAGAGUGUGGAAAAUGGAUUCUGAUCAUUGGAUUUGCCUGCAUGGAUCAUGCUGAGCUCCAAGCACCAGAUACAAAUGAUAGCACAGGCGACCAUGGCUAUGCUACUGCCCCCCGCCCCUAGAGCCUCUGGUACCAGGGCUAGUCCCAUAGGCGCAUUAUCAGCAAAUUCUCCUAAUAGCUCUUUGAAACUGGCAUCAGAGAGCAGGACCCGCAAGACAGCCACAGAUCCUGACAACAACCAGCCCUGUCAUCCCCUCGUGUCAAUGAAGGAUGGGCUGCUGGGAGCAAUGCGUGGGGUCCUCAGCCAGCGCCAGACUAACGUGCCCACCUUUGUGCAUGGGUCCUGCCGUACCAUUGUCUUACAUCCCCACCCAGGUUUUUCUGCUUCACUCUUCAUCCACCACCACCUCCAAACGCAUCCCAUCCGCUGCUGAGCCUCGUCUUCUCCAACAGAACAAGCUCUGGGCUGCGCAUCCCCCAGCCCCUGGCCCCUGCAUCUCCUCGGAAAGACCCCAGCCAGGCCUCCCUGAUCAGGUGAUGUCCCACGAGGUGACACUCUCCUCCCCAUUUAUCACACAACAAAAACUCUUGGGGAAAAAUAAAUUAAGUCCAGACUGGGAAAAAAAAAAUAGCAGCCCUUUCCUCCAAGUUAAUUAAUUUGAGCACUAUUUUCAGGAAAAGCGGUUCUUAAAUCCCUAUCGCUGAAGGCAAUUUUCUUGCCACAAUCACUCAGUGUCCCUGACAGAAAGGAGCAUAAUCGCUCCUUGACAGAAGGUGACUGGCAGAAAGAAGGCCGAGGGGAAAGCGGAUUUCCGCAGCCACGGGAGGGGCCGCAGAGGCCCUGGAGGACCCGCUCCCCAAGCCCAGGGAAACCCCAGUGUCUGAUGAACACGGCUAUCUCUGCAGAAAGUGACUGCUGUGGGCACGUGGUGUGUGGCUGGGUGUGCACGUGUGUACUUAUGUGUGCAAGUCCUUGUAUGCAAGCACACGUGUGCACGUGUGCAUGCCUGCCUGUGUCUGUGCAUGCGUGGAUGUAUGGGUGCUGGUAGGGAGAGGGAAUAGCAGAGUUUUUGCAUGCACGGGACCCUGGGUGUGGGCACCCUGACCUCCCAGCACAUGUGUAUAGCCUGGGACGCCCUCCGCAAGCCCUAGAGGCUGCUUGACUCAGAUUGGGUCCUUUCCUGCUUCUGGGCUUGGCCUCCUUUCAAGCCCAGGUCCAGAUGGCCUCUCUCUCUCUCUCUCUCUCUCUCUCUCUCUCUCUCUCUCUCUCUCUCCCUCUCAGGCAUGGAAUUGACCAUUAUUGAUGGGAAAAUGAUGAUGGAGCUUUUUCCCCCUCUUAGAAAUAAGGGUAAAAUCUAGGGUCAGUGCCCAGGUUCCCUUAGCCAUUAAGGGUAAAAAUAGCUUCCAUUAAUCAAGCAACCAGUCACUAAGCUAAGCACUUCUGCAUUUGCACGCGUUACUUCUUAGAUUCCCUUGCACACCCCUGAUCACAAGGUCCACAGGGGAGGAAACUGAGGCUCAAAGUCAGCAUGACUCACCUGUCAUGCACACAGCCAGGCCUCCAGCCCAGUCGCCUGGACUGUCAGAGCUCCCUGUGCUGAACCGCUGCACCGCCCUGGAGCUGGUUACCAGGUCCUGGACCUCCCUCCAGCCGGUCCUCCUGCCAAAGGAACCGCAGUCCCUGGACACCCUUGACCAGGAAGAAUGUCACAACCAGGGCUGCUUCUUCCCCCUAGAACCUAAGAGCUCUCCACAGACUUUCCCAGCUGGAGGACAGACUGCACGCUGCUUCUGAGGGGUUAGCGUGAUGCUGAGGAGACAGAGAUGACUUGAGCCCUGGCCCCUUUGCUCGUUACAGCGGUGGCUCUCUUACGUCAUCUUAGAGCUGUGAUCAUGCAGGAGCAACCAGAGGGCAAAAUAAUUGCCUCUUCGGGUGUUUUGAGCUUUAAAUGAGAGAAUGUAUUUAAAUGGCUUAACAUCGUGACCUGCUUGUGUUCUGUGGUACAAACAACAUGUAAAGAAUAAAGAAUUGUUCAGGA